CAUUCAUGGAUUCAUGGUUAUGACAUUUAUUUACCUGAGCAACCACUAAGCAUACUAAAGCAUUGCUUUCCAAAAACUGGCUGGACAUCUGCCUGCCAAUGCCAGGCUGGCCUGAUAACAUCUGUGCAUGUAAUCUCAGCACUCUUCAUCAAUGUCACUGACUCAGUCUUGAACUUUCGAAGAAAAUUCCAGAAAACAGGAGGUGAAUACGAGUUGAGUGGGGAAAAGUGUCUUUUGGAAGUAGCUUCUCCUCUGUUGUCUACAAAGUUAGACUAAAGACUACAGCACCUAAGGACCCAGAAUGGAAGAGAAGGCAAGAAUGGCUGCAAAAAGAGGCUGAGAAAAUUAUAGGACAAGAUCAGAUGUAUGGAGGAAGAAUGGCAGUGAGAAUUGUUCCAUCGCAGAAGAUAUUUAAUGAAACAUUUGAAUCCUUUACAAGUAAAAACUUCAGUUGAAGAUCUAGUCCAGAAUUAACUGGCAUAACUCCACUGAAAUCAAGGUAGCUCAGCCAAUUUGCAACAGCUGAGCACUUGACCCAGUAUCCUUUUGUGGAGUAAUAUUAUUCAUGUCUUCCAGAAAACAUUACUAUUAUUGUGUGAGAUUUUGCAGGUGGAUUGUUCUUUUAGUGUAUAUUGCUAGUUACGUGAUAUGAUGUCCAUCAGACUGAAUCUGAAGUAUCCUUACCAUAUUUACUUAUCUUGCUGGUGGUACAUCUGGAAUUUUAAUUUACCUAAAGUAGUAAA